rnacentral:tRNA from 1 species
GCAUUGGUGGUUCAGUGGUAGAAUUUUUGCCUUCUGUAUGGGAGACCUAGGUUCAAUUCCUGGCCAGUGUA